UUUGUAUUAUUUUAGAAUUUACUGUUUUAGACACGUGGCAUGUGGUAUCCCACUAAUUAGCUAUUUUAAACAUGUGACAAGUGGUAUGACACUGUAUUGAUGUAUGUGAA
rnacentral:lncRNA from 1 species